AAGACCCCUGUGGAGAAAGCAGAAGAUGAAGCCCGCAGAGGAGAGAACAGAUGUUUUAUCCCUGAGUGAGUCCCUGAUCACAGCACUCACAUGAAGGGACGGUCAGCAGCAGGAGUGUGGAGCAAAGCGUGUCCAUGGCUGGUAUCACCCUCCCUAAAGACUAUUCAAGUCAGGGAGACCCAGUAAGGUCUCUGCUGUGAGUGUGAUUGGAGAAGAUUCAACAGGUCCCACCGAGCUUCUACACGUCUCCAAUUCUGGCGACCAUGGUUCAGUGCUUCUCAUCUCUGAAAGCAGUCCUAACCUUUCUGUGCACCUCCCUCUGGGAUUGACUCUGAUCAGUGAGUCCUGAGCGCCCCCUGCAGCUAAUUUGCCCACGUGUCCCUGGAGGUUUGUGUCUGUGCUCACACUGGCCUUUCCUCAUGCACUCUGUUGUGCAGUAAUAUAGUGACGUGUUCCUGGUUUGCAGAUUGCGCAUUUGCAGAUACAGCAUCUUCUUGACAUUGUUUGUGGAGAUGAUAAAUCAAAGAAAAAUAAAUACUUUUAGGACAAAUAAAUCCUGAGAAAAUCUAUUCCCAGCACAAUAAUCUUUCCACAGACAUUUUAGCAGAGUUUCUAGGUGAGUAGCCAUAUGAUAUACAUCCAUUACCUGAAUCUAUCCAAAAAAAUAAAGAUUGUCAACAAUGGAAAAA